CACAAGGUCGACGGAAUGGUCUCACGUGUACUUAAACUUUUUAAAAUAAAUUUUUGUUGAUUUUUUGAAAGAAGAAAAAAAAGGUUUUCAGUACAAGGCCGACGGAAUGGUCGCACGUGUGCUUAAACCUUUUGAAAUAAUUUUUGUUAAUUUUGAAAGAAGAAAAAAAAGGUUUUCAGCACAAGGUCGACAUAAAGGUCGCACUUGUACUUAAACCUUUUAAAAUAAAUUUUUGUUGAUUUUUUGAAAGAAGAAGAAAAAGGUUUUCAGUACAAGGCCCACGGAAUGGUCACACGUGUGCUUAAACCUUUUGAAAUAUAUUUUUGUUGAUAUUUUUUUUGAAAGAAGAAGAAAAAUGUUUUCAGCACAAGGCCGACGGAAUGGUUGCACGUGUGCUGGAUCCCUUUUAAAAAUAUUUUUAUUGUUUUAAUAUUUAUUUAAAAGUUGAUAAAAUAAAAUAAAUAGGUAAAAAAAAAACUAAAUAAAAUAAAGAGUAGAAAUAAACUAAAAGUUAAAGUAAAAAGGUGUGUGGUGGUGCUUAAAUAAGAGAAAGGGGUGUCUAAACCUAAUUUACUUUUGAUAACAUAUUGGGCCUAAGUCCAAGGAAGAAAAAGUGGUAAAAAUGAAAAGGGUGUUUCAUCCUAUACCUCCAAGCC
rnacentral:lncRNA from 1 species